rnacentral:rRNA from 1 species
GACGAACGCUGGCGGCGUGCUUAACACAUGCAAGUCGAACGGAAAGGCCCAGCUUGCUGGGUACUCGAGUGGCGAACGGGUGAGUAACACGUGGGUGAUCUGCCCCAAACUUCGGGAUAAGCCUGGGAAACUGGGUCUAAUACCGGAUAUGACCUGCUCCUGCAUGGGGGUUGGUGGAAAGCUUUUGCGGUUUGGGAUGGGCCCGCGGCCUAUCAGCUUGCUGGUGGGGUAAUGGCCUACCAAGGCGACGACGGGUAGCCGACCUGAGAGGGUGAUCGGCCACACUGGGACUGAGACACGGCCCAGACUCCUACGGGAGGCAGCAGUGGGGAAUAUUGCACAAUGGGCGCAAGCCUGAUGCAGCGACGCCGCGUGAGGGAUGACGGCC